rnacentral:rRNA from 1 species
AGCGAACGCUGGCGGUAGGCCUAACACAUGCAAGUCGAACGGCAGCACAGUAAGAGCUUGCUCUUACGGGUGGCGAGUGGCGGACGGGUGAGGAAUACAUCGGAAUCUACUUUUUCGUGGGGGAUAACGUAGGGAAACUUACGCUAAUACCGCAUACGACCUACGGGUGAAAGCAGGGGAUCUUCGGACCUUGCGCGAUUGAAUGAGCCGAUGUCGGAUUAGCUAGUUGGCGGGGUAAAGGCCCACCAAGGCGACGAUCCGUAGCUGGUCUGAGAGGAUGAUCAGCCACACUGGAACUGAGACCCGGUCCAGACUCCUACGGGAGGCAGCAGUGGGGAAUAUUGGACAAUGGGCGCAAGCCUGAUCCAGCCAUACCGCGUGGGUGAAGAAGGCCUUCGGGUUGUAAAGCCCUUUUGUUGGGAAAGAAAAGCAGCAGGUUAAUACCCCGCUGUUCUGACGGUACCCAAAGAAUAAGCACCGGCUAACUUCGUG